GAACGCACCUUGCGCCCUUUGGCUAUUCCGAAGGGCAUGCCUGUUUGAGUAUCAUGAACACCUCAACUCCUCGUGGUUUGCCACGAUGGGCUUGGACUUUGGGGGCUUUGCCGGCUACUGUUGUCGGCUCCUCUCAAACAAAUCAGCUUGCCAGUGUUUGGUGGCGUCACAGGUGUGAUAACUAUCUACGCUUGUGGUCUCCCCACCAGGUAACCUUCAGCAAUGGAGGUUCACUGUGGCUCAUAAAUGUCUCUCCUCUGUGAAAGACGGCUUUUUUAACGUUUGAUCUCAAAUCAGGUAGGACUACCCGCUGAACUUAAG
rnacentral:misc_RNA from 1 species